rnacentral:rRNA from 1 species
AUACGAACCAUGCGAACGUUAUUCGGAAUGACUGGGCUUAAAGCGUGCGUAGGCGGUCUCGAAAGUUGGGUGUGAAAUCCCCCGGCUCAACCGGGGAAUUGCGCCCAAAACUGCGGGACUCGAGGGAGAUAGAGGUGGGCGGAACUUCGGGUGGAGCGGUGAAAUGCGUUGAUAUCCGAAGGAACACCAGAGGCGAAAGCGGCCCACUGGAUCUUUUCUGACGCUGAGGCACGAAAGCUAGGGGAGCGAACGGGAUUAGAUACCCCGGUAGUCCUAGCCGUAAACGAUGAGUACUGGAUUGGAGGGUCUCCCAUAGCCUUCCGGUCGUAGCGAAAGUGUUAAGUGCUCCGCCUGGGGAUUAUGGUCGCAAGGCUGAA